rnacentral:rRNA from 1 species
AACGCGAAGAACCUUACCUACUCUUGACAUCCACGGAAUUUGGUAGAGAUACCUUAGUGCCUUCGGGAACCGUGAGACAGGUGCUGCAUGGCUGUCGUCAGCUCGUGUUGUGAAAUGUUGGGUUAAGUCCCGCAACGAGCGCAACCCUUAUCCUUUGUUGCCAGCGAUUCGGUCGGGAACUCAAAGGAGACUGCCGGUGAUAAACCGGAGGAAGGUGGGGAUGACGUCAAGUCAUCAUGGCCCUUACGAGUAGGGCUACACACGUGCUACAAUGGCAAAUACAAAGAGAAGCAAACUCGCGAGAGCCAGCGGACCUCAUAAAGUAUGUCGUAGUCCGGAUUGGAGUCUGCAACUCGACUCCAUGAAGUCGGAAUCGCUAGUAAUCGUAGAUCAGAAUGCUACGGUGAAUACGUUUCCGGGUCUUGUACACACCG